UACGUAGGGCGCGAGCGUUGUCCGGAAUUAUUGGGCGUAAAGAGCUCGUAGGCGGCCUGUUGCGUCUGCUGUGAAAUCCCGGGGCUCAACCCCGGGCGUGCAGUGGAUACGGGCGGGCUAGAGGCAGGCAGGGGAGAACGGAAUUCCCGGUGUAGCGGUGAAAUGCGCAGAUAUCGGGAGGAACACCAGUGGCGAAGGCGGGUCUCUGGACAGUUCCUGACACUGAGGCACGAAGGCCAGGGGAGCAAACCGGGG
rnacentral:rRNA from 1 species